CGUUUUAAGUUUAAUACGUUUACAGAACGAUGUUGUUUUUUAUAAAAAAAAUCAUAUAAAGGUAUGAAUUUUUGACGAAUUUUGGGACAUAUAUGAUCUGAUGUCACUAUGGCAGUGAAGAAUAUUCCAGUGGUUGAUAUACAUGCAGAAAAUAUCACAGAAUACUGGCCUGCAGUUACCUUGGCCAUCAAAUCUGCUACUUUUAUUGCACUAGAUCUGG